CUGGAGUGACAACGAUGGCUGUGGAUGCAAUCUUUUACCACUGUUGUUGCUGACAGAAUAAAGAUGAGCUUGCCUUAAAGUUUCAGUUUCCUAGUGUUUGGAAGGAGGAGGAGACACUGUGCAGGCUUGUUGGCCACUGCAGAAGUGACAGCUUGGUUACACGUGGUGGCCUGAAGACACUGGUGGAUGGAAACUGUAGCGUUUCCAGUAACCCAGCCGGAUUCGGUGGGUGGAGGAAGGGGAAGGAACUCGGCAAGCCCUGACUCUGGGAAAAUCUUGGCAGGCGCUCACAUACGCAGUCUUGCAACUGGCCUCGAUGUCUCAACUUUUACAAGAAGGGGUUGCACCACAGCAAAGGAAGUCUGUAACAGGAUGUACCUGCA